rnacentral:misc_RNA from 1 species
UUUGGAUAACCAUACUGCUCAUCAGAGAGUGGAUCAUCUUUAUCUUCAUCCUCACCACCAUUCUCCAUCUGGUCAGCAUUGGCACUUCCAUUUUCCCCCAUCCCAGCGGCUUCAAAACACUCCCUUUUAGCAGCUUCACGCUCCUCUGCUGUAUAUGCUCCUUGGUCACUCUCAAUAAUAACCAAAAGUUUCUUCUUAGGUUGAAGCACAAACUUUCUUGGAGUGUACCUCAGAGGUAUUGCGGUUUCAUUAAAUGUCUCACCCAACCUUUCAAUGGUAAAAAUCCUCAGUGCAUCCCCAGCUACAGCCACAACACCUUCCGCACACUGAUCAGAUGAGAAUGAAGCAGCAAAUUCAAGAGUCUCAUAUGAAAGGGAUGUUAACAGGGAAUAUAACCAAGCCAGGGUCGACUUGAUAGGCACAACAUUGCACGUCGGCCUCUCACAAUAACGGAGAAGAGUUUUGGUGCCCUCAAGCCCAAGAACCGGGAACGAGAAUCAGAAAGCUGGCCUGUCACCAUGUCCACCACUGUCCUGAAUAGAACCCCAGACUGCAAACCAGCAUUAAGGAAAAGGCUAGCAGGGUGAUCAGCGCCAUCCUCCCCACCUACUGAUGCCUGAACCUCGAGAAAGAGGAGAGAUUCUGGAGGUGAUGAAACACUUUGAACACUCAAAAUUUGC